rnacentral:rRNA from 1 species
UACGGGAGGCAGCAGUGGGGAAUAUUGCACAAUGGGCGCAAGCCUGAUGCAGCCAUGCCGCGUGUAUGAAAAAGGCCUUCGGGUUGUAAAGUACUUUCAGUCGUGAGGAAGGUGUUAAGGUUAAUAACCUUAGCAAUUGACGUUAGCGACAGAAGAAGCACCGGCUAACUCCGUGCCAGCAGCCGCGGUAAUACGGAGGGUGCGAGCGUUAAUCGGAAUUACUGGGCGUAAAGGGCACGCAGGCGGUUAAUUAAGUUGGAUGUGAAAUCCCCGGGCUUAACCUGGGAAUGGCAUUCAAGACUGGUUAGCUAGAGUCUUGUAGAGGGGGUAGAAUUCCAUGUGUAGCGGUGAAAUGCGUAGAGAUGUGGAGGAAUACCGGUGGCGAAGGCGGCCCCUGGACAAAGACUGACGCUCAUGUGCGAAAGCGUGGGGAGCGAAACAGGGAUUAGAUACC